rnacentral:lncRNA from 1 species
GCAAUUUGAAGCUAAAAACCAUUGCUCGUUGUGAGUGGCUGUAAUUUUGGUUCAAACGGAAACAAAACGGAAACAAAAUUAGAACUUCUGACUUGCGAGAGAGCAAUAUCAUGAAGAGAACACACAUGAAUGAUAAUAAGUUAAUGAGAAAAAAAUUGGAAUAAAGGAAGGAUAAACUCUAACAUCUAGAGUAAUAUUCAUUAAGUCGACAUAUCAAUUGGAAUAAAUUGGAAGAAAUGAGAAAAUUUAUAGAUAAAAGCUAAAUAAAUUUAUCGAUAUUAGUUUUUCGACAUAUAUCAAUUCAUUAAGUAAUAUUCAAUCAACAUAAGAUAUAUAAACUCUAACAUCUUGAUUCUAUAUCAAAUACAAAACAUUGCCUCGACUAAAAAUUGUAUUGCUGAUUUUGAGCGCCUUGAAGUCGAAUAAUAUAGACACAUGCUCCACAAUGGGAUCCUGAGAAAGUAGAAUUAACGAUUAACAAUAAGAUACACAAAAAAUAAAAUCAACCCCAAAAUCUACAACCAAAUGAUUAAACUUUUAUGUUUUUUUGUUUACAAAAAACUUCCAUGCUUUUAAAACACAGAAUAUACUUCUUUUUUUUAUUUUUUAUGAAUUUGUUUAUGGAGGAAGAGAUGGGG